GCUUAAUGCACUUGGCAUAUUGUUAAUGCAUGUAACUUUUGCCUUCAAAUCACAUGAGCAUGGAAUUAGCAAUGUGAGUGUUUUUAGUUGCUAUCUAUCACGUCCCAAUGUGUCCUUUCAAUUGUCCUUUUGCCUUAGUAUACAUUAUCAUAACAUCUGACAAUUUUGCCAACUGUGCAAUAUUCCACAAACCAAUAUCUAGCUGGUUUGCAAAACAGUAUCUUCUAUUGGGAAGAUCUGUAAUGUUGGGGGUAAAUCUUGGAUCAAAAGCAUCCAAAAAGCCAAAUGGACCAAAAUCAAUAGUUAUACCCAAAAUACUCAUAUUAUCAGUGUUUAGCAUCCCAUGACUGAAACCAACCCCCUACUACCUUGCAAUCAAGGAAGCAGUAUGUUGAGCAACCUCCACAACCUAUGUUGAUAUAAAGUUCCAUUAAAAAAAAGUUAUAACCACUAAUAAGCAUUUAUUUGAAAGACAAAAGAACUCAAAAACAAAAACAAAAACUAGGUAGAAAAAUCACAGUUCACAAUAAUAUAUUCUGAUAUCCAAGGAGUGUAUAUGCAACUUCUUUAACUCACAUAUUACAUAAUAACAUGAUUGUUAUCUUGGAGGGGCAAUAUAACUGAAGUUGAAGAAAAUGAAUUGAGCUCUGAAACAGAUAAUGAAAACCCCUCACAGUUUGUUGUUGUGCAAAUUUGCAUGGCCUUAACUCUAAUUACAGAGUAUGCCUAUCACCAGAUAUUGAAUAUCAUGUGGGGAGAGAGAGAGUAAAUAAGAAAGAAAAGCACACACUGAACCAUAAUAUCUCUACAUAAUUACUGAUGAUUGCCACAACAUCACAUAAGCUGAUCUUUCAAAUGCAGUUUGAAAAACCUCAAGUUAAAAGUUUCUUUCAUAUUGUCUUUUUUCAUCUCGCCACAUGGUAGUUACAAUGAUAUUUUUCUCAAGGUUUAUUUGUCAUCAUGAAAUCAUUAACCCAUCUUGAUAAGCACACCAUUUGAGUUAAUAUUAGAGCAUCCCUACUCUGUACAAAUCUGUCUCUUCUUUUAUUGUCACAAAAUUCUUUUCCCAAUUGCAUUAAACACUUCGGCAAAUUGACUAAUCCUUACCAGGUAGGCACCAAAAGUAUAAUUUGUGAUAGAAGUUAUCAAAUGCUUCAAUAAAACCUAAUAGCACUUAUGUGUCCUCCUAAUAAUGUGAAACAUGUUAGAUGCAAGAGUGGAAGAGGAGGCAAAUGAUAAUGUUACAGCUUGAUUGGCAUUAAACAGCACUGCUUCACCAUUUCUUUACUGUCACAGUGCCUCCAAUGUGUAGACAAGCAGCUAAUUGCUGUAAAAUCUGCUUCAUCAAGGGGUGGCAAAAGGGAUUUAAGUCAUUCUUGAGUGCCAUACAAAUGAAGCUUGUUUAGUUGCUGACAUUUGUCAGUUUUGUCCAUUAAUAAGAAGCUGCAAGACGGCGAUUUGUUAAUGUGCAGGUGGUUUAAAGUUGGUGCCAAAAUUUAGCACCCACUUUUCCCUCCCCCACCAAUUGUGAUAAUUUUAUUUGGAUGAUGUCAUCACCAUUUAAUAAUGUGUUCUUACUGUAUAUUCAAUAGAAUUAGACCAUAGAGUAGAUAUUAGUCUUGCAUAUUUUAUUAAUACAUAUGUUAUCUGACAUUUAUUUCUUACAAAAACUUAAGAUCAUUAUGUUCAAACACAUUGCCAAAGCCAACGAAUCAAUCCAUCAUGCAUGUUAUAAAUAAGGACAUCUAUUGAAAACAUUUCACUCAUCUAAUGACUUCUUUUCCUUUACUUCAACUGCAUUACAUGUUGUCCUGAUUCUCCUAACUUCUACAUCCCAACAUCCAUUAAGAACGAUGGACUACGAAUUAAUCAAAGAUAUUGACUACAUAAAGGAGGCAUUAGUAAGUGGACUCAACUUCACUGAGAUCCUCCCCUUGACCCGGUGUCAAUUGUAAUGAUAUUAAUGGAUGAAGAGGUAUGUUAUUGAUUAUUUGUCGUGCCUCAUGGAGCAUUUAUCUUCUAUAAUUGUUGCUGAUCAUGUCUCACAAUCAUGUCAUAUUGUGUUCCUCUUUCAAAGUCAUCUAUUAUUGAAGCUGAUGUCGGCAACAAAGCCUUGCACGAGCAAUUCAGAAAUGAACCAGCUGAAGGAGGAGUUUAUUUUAUUGAGAACUUCACAAUCUCUCGUAACAAGUGGAAUUAUAGGCCAACAAAGCAUCCAUGGAAGCUAAGUUUCCAUGUCAAUACAUUCAUUAAACCUUGUGAUGCAGUAAUACCAGAAGACCACUUUGACAUUGUCCCAAUUGAGAGGCUCUUGGAUGAUUAAAAUCGCAAAACACUUAAGAUAGAUGUUCUCAUUGGCAAGUAUCAAUGACUAAUCUCGCAAUAGACCAUCCUUGAUAUUUGUUACUCUUACAUGUUGGUUUUCACUUUGCCAAGUCACUUUCUCAUUGUACUUGUCUUAGACAUCAUUGGCUUCCUAAAAUCUUUUGGAUCACUUGAAGAAUAUCGGACACAAAGUGGACCACAAAGUAGGCUUACCUUGACAAUAGCAGACGAAGAGGAUAGGACUAUCAAUUGCUUGCUUUGGGGAGAUGUAGCUGCUAAUGCUUAUUAGAGUAAGCAGGAUGACAUGGAGCCACCAAUACUCAUAGCCAUUCAAUUUGCACGAAUAGAUAUCAAGGAUGGUAACAUCCAGAUCAACAACACAUAUAAUGCCACCAAAGUCUCAUAUAAUCCAGGUAUACCUCAAGCAAAACAGUUGCUUCACAGGUAAGCAAUCAUUUUUCAUGUAUCUCAUAGUUAGCAUUCUUGAAGCAAAUAGUCCUUUUUCUUAGAUCUCAUACUUGGCAUUCCUGCAUGUAAUAUACCUUAUUUGUUAAUACAAGUUUCAUUAUUAAUUAUUAAUUAUUUAAAAUUUUUUGUAUUUUGAACAUUUAACUUCUUCAUUUUGUUAGUCCCUAUAGUAAAUAUUGAUUUAUUCAUUCAUUUGUCACUUUCAAAUCUGUGUAGAUAAAUUAAUAUAAUUUAAUAUUUACUAUUUAACUAA